rnacentral:rRNA from 1 species
UAUCUGGUUGAUCCUGCCUGAACUGAUGUGUUCAUUUCAAAGAUUAAGCCAUGCAUGUACCAGUUUAAUCGAUUUAUCGAGAAACCGCGAACGGCUCAUUACAAUGGCCAUGAUUUACUUGAUCUUGAUUAAUCCUAAAUGGAUAACUGUGGAAAAUCUAGAGCUAAUACAUGCACUAAAGCUUUGACCUCACGGAAAAGCGCAUUUAUUAGAACAAAACCACGCGGCUUCGGCUGCUCUUUGUUGACUCAGAAUAACUAAGCUGACCGCAUGGCCUUGUGCCGGCGGCGUGUCUUUCAAGCGUCCACUUUAUCAACUUGACGGGAGCAUAAUCGACUCCCGUGGUUGUGACGGAUAACGGAGGAUCAGGGUUCGACUCCGGAGAAGGGGCCUGAGAAAUGGCCACUACGUCUAAGGAUGGCAGCAGGCGCGCAAAUUACCCACUCUCGGCUCGAGGAGGUAGUGACGAGAAAUAACGAGACCGUUCUCAUUGAGGCCGGUCAUCGGAAUGGGUACAAUUUAAACCCUUUAACGAGUAUCAAGGAGAGGGCAAGUCUGGUGCCAGCAGCCGCGGUAAUUCCAGCUUCUCCUAAUGCAUAGAAUUAUUGCUGCGGUUAAAAAGCUCGUAGUUGGAUUCGUAUCGAUACUCUGGAACCCUUCGGGUGUUUCUGGAUGUUAUCGAUUUAUCGUAAUGUUCAGUUUUGAGUCCUUAACAGGAUUCUUAACAGGCAUUGCAAGUUUACUUUGAACAAAUCAGAGUGCUUCAAACAGGCGUAUUCGCUUGAAUGAUCGUGCAUGGAAUAAUAGAAAACGAUUUCGGUUCAGUUUUAUUGGUUUUACGGACUGAGAUAAUGGUUAACAGAGACAAACGGGGGCAUUUGUAUGGCCCCGUGAGAGGUGAAAUUCUUGGACCGUGGCCAGACAAACUACAGCGAAAGCAUUUGCCAAGAAUGUCUUCAUUAAUCAAGAACGAAAGUCAGAGGUUCGAAGGCGAUCAGAUACCGCCCUAGUUCUGACCGUAAACGAUGCCAACUAGCGAUCCGCCGAUGGAGAUUAUAUUGCCUUGGUGGGGAGCUUCCCGGAAACGAAAGUCUUCCGGUUCCGGGGGAAGUAUGGUUGCAAAGCUGAAACUUAAAGGAAUUGACGGAAGGGCACCACCAGGAGUGGAGCCUGCGGCUUAAUUUGACUCAACACGGGAAAACUCACCCGGCCCGGACACUGUGAGGAUUGACAGAUUGAUAGCUUUUUCAUGAUUCAGUGGAUGGUGGUGCAUGGCCGUUCUUAGUUCGUGGAGUGAUUUGUCUGGUUUAUUCCGAUAACGAGCGAGACUCUAACCUACUAAAUAGUUGAUAUUUUUUUUUGAAUAUACAACUUCUUAGAGGGAUUUGCGGUGUUUAGCCGAAAGAAAUUGAGCAAUAACAGGUCUGUGAUGCCCUUAGAUGUCCGGGGCUGCACGCGCGCUACACUGGCAAAAUCAACGUGCUUGUCCUUCCCCGAAAGGGGCGGGUAAACCAUUGAAAAUUUGCCGUGAUUGGGAUCGGAAAUUGCAAUUAUUUUCCGUGAACGAGGAAUUCCAAGUAAGUGCGAGUCAUCAGCUCGCGUUGAUUACGUCCCUGCCCUUUGUACACACCGCCCGUCGCUGCCCGGGACUGAGCCAUUUCGAGAAAUUUGGGGACUGUUGAUUUAACUUUUUUUAAAAAGUUUUUUUGAUGGAAACCAAUUUAAUCGCAGUGGCUUGAACCGGGCAAAAGUCGUAACAAGGUAGCUGUAGGUGAACCUGCUGCUGGAUCAUUA